UUUCUAGACAAGUGACUUUUACAGAAUUGAGAGAAUUCAUAUCCAUUCAACACCUACUUGGACUACAAGAUAAAACGACCCUCACAAAGAGCUGCGCUACUUUUCUGCUGAACACUGGAGAGAACAUUUGACGUUAAUGAAGGCUGCAAAGAGCAUUUUGUGCCAGAAAGACACCAACGUAGGAGACUUUUCCAGAAAGGAGAAAAAUCAUUAAGCCGCUUGGGUUGAAAUUCGCAUUGGAACGAAAUGCUAUAAGACCUCUUCUGGAAAUUGCAAAUAUUCACUUCCAGGGACAACAGUAAUUCAGGCACAGAAGACAUCCACACUGAUCCUUGUCCAGCACUCUUCUACACAAAAGAAGUGUUGUCCUCUGCCAGAGUCGUUUUUCUCUUAGCCUAAGCAAGAGUGAACGUGAUCAAUAAAUAUACGUGUUUGGCUUUUUACGCAUUGUGUUUUAGUCUUUUUGUUGAAAUCCCACUGACAUGAAAUGAGAUCUGAGAGCUUCAUGACCCUACAAAUGCUCAGCUCUACAUAAAAGAGUUCAUGUAGAAAGGGAAGAUACCUACAAUGAUUCUGGAACUCUAGUAUACUGCACAAUAGGAAUAGGAUGUUCUGCAUGCUGCUUUUUUCUCCUGUCCCGCUAAAUCGUAUUAAUCUAUAACAUUAAUUGAAUGUAUUUUUCUCUCGAUUAUAUGAAAUCAUAUGCAUUCAAACCUACCUAGCACAAAAUAUUAUAGAAGAGGAUCAUGAAACGUCAACUGUUCAGUUCCACGUGAAACAUUAGUACAGAAACAGAAGAAAGUUACAGCGAUCUUGGUAGUAUAACUUGCGGUGCUCCAGGAGAAUAGUCUCGUGCGUGUGCCUAUUUUUCUUCUGUGUUGUUCGGUAAGCUUGUUGAAUAAGAAAGCCGAAUAAGAAAUAUGAAAGCUUGUUGAAUAAGAAAGCUUGUUGAAUAAGAAAGCAGUGUCCGUUUCUCUUCUUCCUACGAAAGACAUUUAACUUGUAACCCACAUGGCACAAAACGCCAUGGGCAGUCUUCUUCACAUUUCAAAUGGUCAGUAUUUACAACAGCAUUUCAGUAACUCAAGAUAACCACACUGAUCCUGGCUUCACAGAGUUCAGCACAAAGGGAACUUAAUCUUGGCAACAGUCAUUUUUCUUCUAGCUUUCUAAGAAAGGGUGAAUAAGUUCACUGAGUGCUAGCUUUGUCCAGUCUGUAAAAAAGUCACUUGCACUGAAAUCCUUUGGCCACAAGGAUUUUUUACUGCUAAGUAAGUGGGUUUCCUUAACUAGUUUACUAAAUUCAGAGUGAUGAAGGUACGUAAGUUUCUGUCCAAGAUCCUUGCGUUGAAAACCGCAUGUCGCAAAAUGCCCAAAUCAACUCGGCUUCAAAUUGCAAAUAUUAGGUUUCGUGUGCAAC